AGAAACAGAACUUUCACCCUAGAUUGCUAUGAUUCUGAUAAAUUAUAUAGUUGAUACUAUAAAAAUUUCAUUUUAUAGUUUUUGAAUUGAUGCUUCAUGUUUUGUGAGUAAGUGGUUGAAGUAUGCUUAAGAGUUAGUUUUGUUGUCAUGGAUAGAAAACUUUAAUCUCACAGUUUGUGGUAUUACUGGGUUUCAGUGAUAUGGAGAUUGUUGAUAUCCCUGCAAACUACAAACUAUGCACACAUGCUGAUAUAGGUUAUUCUUGCCUUAUGGAUCGCUAAAAUUGGCAAUCUGAAAUAUAAUCAGUUCACUAGACAAUUAGAAAGCAUUUACACAAACUUUUGAAAUCUUAAAAAUAACUUGGAUGAAUGAUUAUAGUAACAUUAAAUUAAAUGUUGCUCUAAACUUGCAAUCAUGCUACAAAAACUAGUGAAAGAAACUUUUUGUGUUACAAAGUGAGUGAUGGUGGCUGAUCCUUGGAGCUCUAUCAUGAUCCAAAAUAUUGAAAUUAUUGAACCUACUAGUCGGAUAUCAUGCUUCUUGACAUGUGAUCUACUCCAUUCCACUUCGGUACCAUUUUCCAUAGCAUAAAAAGUCUAGGUCACUAAGGUAGAUAUACUUUGUUAUAGAUGAAUCUUAAGUAGACGAGGUACCUCUGCAUUGGCGGCAUGAUUAGUAAAACUAUCUUUGACUAAUGAUCUGCACACGGUCUUUAUGUGUAAGGCGAUUCAUGGUGAGAUGAGAGGAGAAAGUAAGUCCUUGUGAUUCUUGAAAUGAUUCUUGCAGCAAAACUAAGUCCUUUUGAUGUUUAGCCCUUGUCUACUUAUUACUUUAUGCUUAAUUAAGAAAGAAGAACAAUUAAAAAUCAUUUAAAUUUUCCGUCUUUGUUCCUCGAGCCAAAUGGAAAGUGAGUGACAUUUACUGCAAUUGGUUUGUAGUAGUCAUCUUAUAGGCACAGUUUCUUCCAUGUCAAGCAGGAUUCCAUUGCUAAAAUUAAUUGCAUGAUGUACUCCAAGUUGCGUUCGUUAUUUAUUAUUUGGCGUUUAAGAUUCUAUUAAAGUGUUUGUUUACUUGACAUCAACUCGUUGACCCAUUUUCACAGUAAAAACUGCAAGCAAUAACCAUUUAGUAGGUGUAAUAUUCAAUUUCUGGGAUUUAAUUAUUAGUAAGUUGUUUGAAUGUCUCAGCACUCGUGUUAGUUUCAAUUUAUGAGUUGGUCACUUUUUAUUUACUUCACUUUUGGGCAGCUGGCUAUCUUGGACGGUGUCACUAUGGCAAGCGGAGCUGGGAUUUCUCUCCCCGGAAUGUUUCGAUUGGCAACUGAUAAAACUGUAUGUGACUUUUCCUAAAUAGUGAUAUAGAUGUUAACUGCUUUCAUACAUGUGCUCGCUGGGGUUGUGCUUAUUCAACUUCCUUUGCCAAUUUAUUUCUUAUCUUAAUGUAUAGUGAGGUUCGAUUCCAUUGGCUGUCAUUAUAUGUGAAUUUGCUCCUGAGCUGGAACAUAGGUUUCUGGCAAAACCAGUAAGCUAAAUUGUCAUGGGAUUGGUAUUAACAUAGAUUUUUAUAUGGGAUAAUGGUAUGGGAGGUCCUUGAACCUUUUCAACUUGCAUUGUCGUCCCUCAACUUCGUUUUUUUUUUUUUUUGGUGCAAUCAAGUCCUUGAACUAUAUGUUUGUUUGUUCAAGUUAGUCCUUCAGUCAAACAGUUAGACGGGAAGCUGAUAUGCCCAUCCACAUCAUCAUUCUUCUUGAGCAAAUCUCUGCGGCGGAAUAAAAAAAAAAAGGGUGGGAGGGUGGCCUGCCGGUGGAGGCGGUGUUGCCCAGCCAUAGCCAGGGUCAUGGUGAAUGGGUACUUGCUGCCAUCGCCUUUGAAUACCACAUGCAACAGAGAGACCGACCUAGUGUGUAAGAGAGCAUUGAGCUUGUGUUUGCACAACACGGAAUCUUCUAUAAAAGAGGAGCCAAAUAACUGGGUCCACAAACAUGAAAUGGCAAGAUUCUUGAAACAGGAAGCCAGAACUAAUGGUAACAAUCAAACUUCAUAUAACCCAUCAACCCAAAUCAAGGGAACUUAACAAAGCAUCAACAAAAAUAGCAUAAAGGAAUACCAAAUUCUUUUCUUUUAGGUGGUUGACUUUGUUUGAGCCCACUACAGAAGAACAAGAAUAUAUGGCUACAAUGACGACGAGCUCUCAAGCUGUGCACUCUGAUCAUAGACCACAAAAAAGGGGGGAAAAGUAUUCUUGAAUCCUCCAAAUCACAAAGCACUUGUGGUUUACUUAAUCCUUGUGAUAUAAUUUUUUAUUUAUUGACAACGGUUUGGCAACAACUGAAUAAUUUGAAUGCAUGAAAUUCUCAUAGUCUGUGUUUCUCGGACCACUUCAAAUCCCAGCAGAACCACUGCAGAUCUGACAUGAGGUGGUGACCCUCGCCUGGAUCUGUUGUGACGGCUGUGGCCCUAGCUGGUGGGUGCUGAGAGGUGGUUGAGGACCAGGACUGCUUUUUCCUUGUAUCUCUCUCUGUGGGUGUAUACCUCUGUGAUGGAACACGCUCAAGCUCCAUGAAGGUGUGGCCACUGUGACCUGAGCCUGGGGGGGUCUGGCCACCCUUGCUGGUGGCUGUUGGUGUGUGACUGUCCUCUCUUUGCCAGAGCAAGCUGAAGAUGGUUUUCCUCAUUUUUCUUUUUUUCAAUUUUCUUUCUAAAACCAUCACUUCAUUUUUGAAUUUUUUUUUAACUGUGUAAUAGCACUUGGACCCUACGUGGCUGCGUAGAUGCCAAGGUGGCAUGUUAUAGCCUUGUGACAUCCACUUCGCCAUUUCUGUUUAGUUUUUUAAUGGGAGGACUAACUUGAACUAACAAACAUAUAAUGCACCUGGCUUCAUUUUUCUGCUGCAAUUCCGCAAAGUAAAUUCUUGAGCUAAUGCUUUCAAUUGCAGGUUUUUUCCCAUCCAGAGGUUCAAAUAGGAUUUCAUCCAGAUGCAGGAGCUUCCUUCCACCUUUCCCGUCUACCUGGCUAUCUAGGUAGGUUGUCUAUGCAAGCAAAGGGGAGGUCUUGGCUAAACUGUGUAAUGAAAUAAGGAGAUCAUUCAUUAAAUUAAAAAUAGGUCAGAAGGGUCGGAUAAAAUUAGGCCUCAAAGUGUUCUAUUGGUUUCUGUAAACUGGAAAUUCCUUGAAAAGUUAAUCUUUACUGCAUGUUCGAAUGUUUUGCUGUACCCAUUAGUUCCCUUCUGGCAUGCAAAACUGUUGAAGACCAUCCAAUGCAUUGCACUAAAGGGAAGCCUUUGUUUGCAAAGUAUACUUUAUUAUUGAACCAUGAAGAGAUCAUAUAGUUUUUGCUUUGUCCUUAUAUUUGUAAUGAAAGGUUUAUAUAGUUUCCACAGUAUUUUCUUUGCAUGGUUUAGUACUAUUCCUCUUUGAAUACCAAGUUGUCAAUAACUAGCGUUAGGAUACUGUCUUAGAAUGUGGCCUUCUUCUUCCAGGGGAAUACCUGGCUCUCACGGGGGAUAAGCUUAAUGGUGUUGAAAUGGUUGCCUGCCGCUUGGCUACUCAUUAUUCACUAAAUGCGGUUUGUUUACAAUGCACCUUUGACUGCUGCUUCAGUGUUUUUACACUUCAUACCUUGAUAAUCUCUUCUUGAGUUAUGACUAAUGACCUUGACAGAGAUUGGCUUUGAUUGAAGAGCGUCUUGGUAGACUCACUACUGAUGAUCCGUCUGUUAUAGAGACAUCCCUUUCACAAUAUGGUGAUCUUGUUUAUCCCGACAGGAGAAGUAUCAUUCAUAAGUAAUGCUCAACUUUAGUCUACAGCUUCUGGGUUCUUUAUGGCAUGAUUUUUUACUUUUAUCCUCCUCUGUGUAAAUGACUGUAUGUUUUUUGGAUCUAUACAGUAUAAAUUUACGUUAUACGCCUUUCUGGGGAAACGGACUAGACAAGUUUGUGAUGUAGCUAAUAAAUGAUGCACAUUGCGAGUAGAUUGCGUUCUACCACACAUAACUAUAGCUUUCUUGCUUUUUCGUGCAGUUGGCUAUUAGGCAAAUAUAGGCUUUAUAUGCUUAGAAUUUUUGUACUAGCUAUUUUCACACUUUAUGUGGCUGAUUCUGUUUUAUCCAAACCCAGGUAGAACUUUGAAUCAGUCCCUCUAAACGCUUAAGAUCUACAUAAUAAGUUAUUAGUAAUGAGUCGUAACUUAUGACAUGUUGUUAUGAGUCAUAACUUAUGACAUGUUGUUAGUUGUUGUGCAUAUUAGAACUGUGCAAGGGACAAGUAAAUAUUCCACGUAGCAGAGUGAUUGCUGCUUUUAUGGAGAAAGUUUCUUCCUUCUCUGCAAGUUUAUUUUUUAUCACCUUUAUUAGAGAAUGAACUUGCACUUUUUGUUAUGCUUACUACCAGGAAGCCUUUUGUUUUCUAAUCUCUUCAGUAUUAUUUGUUGCAGCUAUUGAAGUGUGUAUCAAAUAAUUUUUUAAAUGGAGUAUUUUUGUCUUGUUCACUGACUUAGGAUUGAAGUGAUCGAUAAAUGCUUUGGCCACGACACAGUUGAGGAAAUUAUUCAUGCAUUGGUAAGUUGGACGAGACACCCUGAAAAGGACUCUUAUAUUUGUUGUUGGAAAGUCCACAAUGCUUGACAUCGUACUGGUUUUUGAGAUGGUAUGACUGAUGUUUUAUUUUGCCAGAUGACAUGAUGGUAGAAUUGGGACUAAUCAACUGAGAAAUGCAAUGAGUCAGCGUAGUUAAUAUCCUAGAUGUUCUAUUAUUGCCAUCUUAUUAAAUUGGUGUUGCUUAGGAAAUUGAAGCAGCUGACUCUUAUGAUGAAUGGUGUGCAAUGACCCUCAAGAAACUAAGGGAAGCUUCUCCAUUGAGCUUAAAAAUCACCUUAAGAUCUGUGAGUUUCCAUUCUUUUGAUUCUCUUUGUUGGACAUAGAUUCCUUCUCUAAAACAUUGACUUGGUUAUAAUUACUACUUUCAGAUUCGUGAAGGUAGAUUCCAGACCCUUGAUCAAUGUUUAACUCGGGAAUACCGAAUAUCCCUCCAUGGAAUCUCUGGAGAAGUUUCCAAAGACUUUUGUGAGGUAUGCAAGUCUUGGACAUCCACUGCAAUUGUUUGGUUGAAUCUUGUGGUUUUUCUUCUCUCUCCUUAUCAUCAGAUCAUGGUACUCUUUGCCAUCUGUGGGGUUGCAAAGAUAGUUUAUGUUCUCAUCAAUAGUGCUCUUUGCUGUCUGUAGGGUGUUCGAGCACGAUUAGUGGAUAAGGACUUCGCUCCAAAGGUAAAAUUGAGUCCCAAUUUUUCCGACCUCAUACAUUUUCUCAACUUCAAUGACUGAAAUCAUCGUGGGCUUAUCAAAUAAUGUGCAGUGGGAUCCUCCAAGUUUGGAAGAAGUAACCAAGGAGAUGGUCGACUUUUAUGUCUCUCCACUUAUAUCUGAGCCUGAGCUAGAACUACCCACUGCCUCACGAGAACCCUCUGUAUGAUAGACGUAUGAAUGCAGAUGAAUUUUUUCAGCAACUUGAGUUUUGUUGGUUAGGUAUUAAACUGUAUGAUUUAAUUUUAUCUUGCAUACCCUCGACAGCUCAAGAUCUGUCAAUCGUGUUUUCCUUGUAUGUUAAAAUCCUUCUCCCAAAUUCCACACAGACAAAGCACCAGCACAAUGAUAUAAGCAGCUCCAUCUUAAUCAGCAGUUCUCUCUCUCUCUCUCUCUCUCUCUCUCUCUCUCUCUCUCUGCGCUUUGUCGGUUAUUUGUUUAUGCACUGCUACAUGUAUCAAUAUUUGAAAUUACAAACCACGCAACCAUUUCGCUGCUUUAAUUAAAGUUGGUGCAGAGAAAAUUUUAUAUAGUUUUCGAUGCAUAAAUCAAAAGGAUGAGGCAACUAUCAGAAUUAUAAAAGGGAAAGUCACGGGAAAAGGAUCCAAAAGUUCGAAAAACUGCAAAUCAUCCAAGCGUAGUGAAAUGCUAAAAUUACUAUCUCAAUAUGACCUUCAGAAAUUCAAAGAUCUACAUUGUUAGUUGAGGGACUCUCUCAAAUUAGUCUUGCAAAUAAGUCUUAAUUUCCUUGUGGAAAAGGUUUCAAACCCGUAAAGAAAUCUGAAAAAGAAACAAAUUCAUUUUCUUUUUUUUUUGUCAACGGUCAAUGGUCAACGGGUCAAUGGUUGCGCGGGUAAACGGUCGCGUAGGUGGGGCCGAUCGGGCCGGUUAGACCGAUCGGACCGGGUCGGACAAACUGACCCGGCACAUGCCUCGCACUCGGGAGCGAUCGGUCGGAUCUUGGGUCGGGUCGCGUCUCAAGUCGGGUCGAUUCGCCGAUCGGGUUGGGUUGCCGGUCGGUCGCCAGCGAUGACGUCAAAGAUGACGUCAUCCCAACGGUUACCGACCGUUGGGUGAUGUCAUCACGCGUCGGUUCGCCGACUGGUGCGUGCCGAUUCGCCGGCCGGCGGCGUCGCACACAUGCCGGUUCGCCGACUGGCGCGUGUGGCGCCCACGCGUAGCGGCUUCUGGCCGUGCGUGUGGGCGCGUCCGGCGUCUCCCGGCGGCGUUCGACCCAUCGACAGACUUGUCUCGACGAGCUCUUUUACUCUAUGCCAUCAGAAAUUGAUUUCGACUUACAGAAACUCGAAAAAAUGGAUGAACAGUGCUCGGGUGUCGGGAUUUUGCGCCCCGAUCCGUGUCGGCCGAUUAUUUUUACAAAAAAUCAAUCAAAAAUCAUUCAUAAAACAUGAAAAGGGGUCGAGAAAACAUGAACUAGGGCUCUGAUACCAAUGUUGGGAUUGUCGGAUUCCCAAAAACCGGAUUCGACACUAAAUCGAACCUCUAAAACGAAUGCGGAAGACGAGUCCGGGAAAUUCACAUGUAUCACCGAUCCUAAAGCACACCACGGAAUCGAGCGUACCUUAUUAGCCACAGAUUAAAUACCGAUGCCGAUAAGAGGAAGAGAAACCGAUCCCUUUCGAUCCAAUGACGUCAAUUGGCCUUAAAGGGAAGACGGCGUUGCCUUUUGCGCACUGUUUUUCUUUUGGAGGGAGAGAGGGAGAGGAAUGUACGUUAAUGCCAAUGGGUGUGUUCCUCCCUCUCUCUUUCUCCUUUUAUAUGUCCCUCCAACAGAAAGGAAUGUACCCCUUUAUCCAUGGGCCAUAAUCUUGUGGGCCGGGCUUUUAGGCCUAUCAUGGGCGGACGGGCCAACUUAGGCCCUUCACAUAAAAUCAUCAUGAGGUAACAAAUAAUUUUCAGGUUCUCUUUUCCAAGCAUGCCAAAGUCAAGAUAUUGGUAGCACAUUGGGCACAUUUCGUAAACAACACUGACGUUUACCUGAAAUCACUCCUCUAUUACAAUGUCCUUUGCUCCUCUUCGAAGUACAACAAUUGUUCUGGCAAAGUCGAGAUCAAGUACUACAUAGUGCUGGGUUUCAACGCGACUGAAGCUGCGAUCAGCAAUGGGACCAGCACUGGGAAUAAGUAUCCUGGUUACACGCGGGUUAACCAUGGGAAGCAUGCUGUUAGCGAUGUGAGAGCCCACAUUGGAACGAGCAACCUCAUAUGGGACUAUUUCUAUACUACUGCCGGUGUCGGCUUCGGGACGUAUGAGCAGGACAUAUUAUUGCAGCUUCAGGAAGUCUUCGAUGCCGAUUGGGAUUCACCAUAUGCUGUUCCUGUGGGAGAGUCCAAGGAACGGCACUCAUUUUCGAGCCGACUAGUACUUGCACACGAGGUACGGACUGGACCAGCUACAGUUAACCGAAAGCCGCACAACGACAAUCAAAUGAAGUCUUCUAACACAAAGGGCACGGCCAAAAGAGUUGCGCCGCUUCUUGAGAUGAGGACAUUGUUUGGACUUAAUUUGACCAGAGUGAUUCGUUUGUAAAUAAGCAAUGCAAUAAAGCAUUUCUUUACACUUUGCAAUCUGAAACUGAAACUAUUGGUAUCUCCUGACGAUUACAAUAUUUAAAAAAAGAAAAAGAAAAAAGGAACCAGCUUCAUUGCUUCUGUAUUCAUUAUCUUAAGGCACAUCAUUUCUUAAAGCUACACCAAAAUCAUCAAACACAACAUGAAAGCGUGUAGAGCUUAUUAAGAACAUAAAGUUGACACUACCUGAACAUGAAAUGCUGGAAGACAAGCACGAAUUUGCAGAAAAAUUGAAGGGGAAAAAAACUAAAGGACUCAUAAUUUGGUCAUGGGACUAAACAAAAAUUCAGGAGAUAAUGAUAUAAAUGAUUUUUCAACUUUGACUCAAUGUGAAGUUUAGUCUAACAUACAAUAUCAUUAUUUAAAUAUUUAAUUUGUUCAAUAUGAUUUCUGAAAUUUUGACAUAUGUUCAAUCUAGUCCAUGAAUCAUAUGACAAUGUUCAAUACCGUUUCUGAACUUGAACUGAUGGAAUGAUGACAUUGAAUAUUUUCAUAUAGUUCGGAGACCAAAUUAAACACAUACCAAUAGGUGAGAGAUCAUAUUAAAUAAAUUAAAAGCAUAGGGAUGUCGUUAUACGUAAGAAUAAAGUUGAUGGAGUAUCCAUGUCGUUUUCCCAAAAUUCGGGGAGGAGUUAUUUUACGAGCAUGAUUUGGUAGGCUUUAUGCUUAUAAGCCCAGAUGACAAAAAGCCCGAUCAUAGACAAUAACCUCAUUGAACGGCCGCUUGACCUUUGCUCUGUUCUUUUGUCUUGCCUCCUCAGUGUGCAGUGUCUAGCGUUCAGCGUUCGCUUCUCUCUUCAAGGGGGGCUGGAGUGACGGGCUCAUGGAUUCCGUGGAAAAGCGCAAAAUAAUUGAUUGGUCUCAAGUUCAUUGUUGGUCCAAUUCUCAGUCCCAAGCUCAACAAGAUUAGUCUUUGGUCCUAAAAAUUGAGGGUCAAUGCUGUGCAGGUCAAUCUUUGGAUUAAGUGCGGGAUCGGCUCAAUUGGGAUCAUGUUCAUUUUUACUGGCUGCUGGCCAGUUUUUGGGUCGCGGUGGGGUCAUGCGACCUCGCCGCCCUUGGAUCUAGGUCGCGAUGGGGUCGCGCGACCCAAAUCUGGAUCGGACUAGAUCAUCGUUGGAUAGGCCUUGUCGCCCGGAUCUUAGACUGGAUCAGACCGGUCCAGAUAAGCCCAGAUGGGCAAAAGCCCAAUCUGAGCUCUCUCGUACCAUUACGGCUCGGACGAUAAGCUUACAGAACGACCGUUUGAUCUUUGCACUGCUCUGUUCUUCUCCUUUUGCCUCCUCAGCGCGCAUCGUUCAGCGUUCCGCCGUUCGCUUCUCAUUUUGAGGGGAAGGCCGGAGCGACGGGUUCAGGCAUUGCUCCGGAGAAAACGCCCUUCGAAAACCCUUUUAUAGAGCGUUCAAACAACAGCAAGAGAAGGAAGGAGAAAGAGAGAGAUGCAUAGCUUGAAGGUUUUAGUGAGAGCCAGUGAGAACCAGGCGUUCGCUUCCCAAGCUCGGCGCUUUCCCUCACCGGAGAAGUUUCUCUGCUCAGCCCCAUUACGCCGGCUACGACGACGUCCAAGACCAGGUCUCUCUCUCUCUCUCUCUCUCUCUCUCUCUCUCUCUCUAUGUGUUUCGGUUUGUUGUUGGAUGCAAGUUGUCCGGGUAGUCAAAAUUUGAUUCGUUCAGAAACUCGAUGGAGUCAAGUCGCGGCGUCUACUUUGCGGAUAGCAAAAGACGGGUUCAUUUACAUUGGGAGCUUAUAUUUCAAUUCGUGUAUGUUUGUGGCGUCAGGUUUUGGUGGAUGGAAGAGCCAACUCAAGAGUGCGAUCCUCAACCGGCCAUCCGCUCUUAAUUCUCUUACUACCUCAAUGGUUUGGUUCUUUCUCUCUCUCCGACUCAAAAUGAAUUCCUCGCCCAACCCCAAUCAGAGCGGAAAGCCGUUUCAUUUUUUGUGUUUCUUGGUGCCCCGUCCGGUUAUUUUUUCUAGAAUAAUUAAAGCUUAAAAUUUUAUGCUGAUAUAUUCUACAGGUGGCCAGGCUGAAGAGGCUCUAUGAAUCAUGGGAAGAGAAUCCAAACAUCGGGUUUGUGUUGAUGAAGGUAUUGCCAUUACAUGCCCUCACACAAGAGCUGAUGGUUUCAAAUAGAUCCUGGUUUUGUUUUGUCUAGAGUCUAUACAGAAGGAGAAACGGAUACACAUUUCAGGCAUUCCUUUUAUUAUUGUCAGGGUUCACAAUCUUUGAAUGUUAUUAACUUUUUUUGUCUGAUCUGAAGGGUCGUGGCAAAGCUUUCUACUCAGGGGGGAAUGUCAUUACCCUUUAUCAUUUGCUCAUUGAAGGUCGGAUGGUGAUGAAUCCUUUCAUUUAUUUGGCUUUCAACAUUUUUUUCUCUGAUAGUUUUUAUGUCCUUUUUCAUUGCUUUAUAUUUAAAUAGUUAUUAGUAGUAGAGGAUUGGUUCAAGGGCAAGAAUAUCAUAAACAUGGCAAUGUUGGGGUGUUAAAUAUCAACAUGCGAAGGUAAUUUUUAUAACUGGAGACGAUACCCAUUGGUGGAUUUGUGACUGUAGAAGAAAGGUCGGAUUAGGAACUAGUGUGUUUGAGUAAAACUAAAUAUUGAAUCAGGUGGGAUAUGAUAGAUAAAUUAAGGUGGAAGAUGUGAAAUAAUGGCCCUCAAGUGCUCUUCAAAGAGCACGCAACUUUGCUAUCAAUUUGCUUUUGUUCCCUUGAUUAUGAUCUUUUGGUUCUUUUACUUUUCUUUCCUAAUUGUUGUUUCUAAUCAAAUAGUCAACAUAUGUGCAGGGAACAUUGAGGAUUGCAAUUUUUUUUUUUUUUGAUACUUUAUAUAAGUUUGUUUACCUGCAAGGGACAUUUUUGAAACCACAUGUAAGUACCUCCUUUUGAAGUUUAUAAACUAUUAGCUCUUUUGAGAUGUAGAAUCAGUCUACCUUGUAAUGGAUAAUUUCAGGGCUUGGAUUUUCCUCUUAAUUUCUCUUGAUUUCUGUAAUGACCUCUUGACACAAUUUAUUAUUGGCCAGACAUCAUAGAGUAAGGUAGUAUUUCUCCUGGCUGGAUGAGAAACAAAACUUUCACUCUAGAUUCCUAUGAUUCUGAUAAAUUAUAUAGUUGAUACUAUAAAAAUCUCAUUUUAUAGUUUUUGAGUUGAUGCUUCAUGUUUUGUGAGUAAGUGGUUGAAGUAUGCUUAAAAGUUAGUUUUCUUGUCAUGGAUAGAAAACUUCAAUCUCACAGUUUGCGGUAUUACUGGGUUUCAGUGAUAUGGAGAUUGUUGAUAUGCAAACUACAAACUAUGCACACAUGCUGAUAUAGGUUACUCUUGCCUUAUGGAUCGCUAAAAUUGGCAAUCUGAAAAAUAAUCAGUUCACUGGACAAUUAAAAAGCAUUUACACAAACUUUUGAA
rnacentral:lncRNA from 1 species